GAGGGGGUGAGGUGGAGUGAGGGGGAAUGUGAGGGAGUGAGGGGGUGAGGUGGAGUUAGGGAGUGAAGUGAAAGGGAGUGAGGUGGAAUGUGAGGUGGAGUGAGGGGGCGUGGCUUGAGGGGGGCGGGGACAGACAGGAUAUUUUUUACAGUGUUAAUGAGGAUUUGUGAUUUAAUGUUUUUUGUUGUGUUGAUGAACUGAAGUUUGAAACUGAGAAACGAAUGGAUCUGUUCACCACUCGGCUGCAGAUGUUUCUGUUCUCUCCAGAUGUUUCUCUAGCUCAGAUGUUUUAAAAGAAUUCUUCUUGACCUUUGACCUUUCAUGCUCACUGGUAUCGUCUGUUUGCUGACACUGGGAACUUUGGUUUCAACACAAACUCUACGAUAUGAAAAUGAUGAACGAUAGCUUAGCUUUUGUAAGAUCCUUACGCUCGUUAAUGUUUGACCUAGAGAAAUAAUUAUGCUUUUUUUUUACCAGUUGAAAUGAUUUUUUUACACCAGUAUAUUUUUGAAUGGAGUCUGGUGAAAUGUGAAGAGUUUGAUCUGAAAGAAGAAAACACUGAUGGAGAAGAAGAGUGGUGAACAGCACAGUCUGACCUCUGACCCCUGACAGAGACAGAAUGUAAAUUCUAAAUAAACCUGAUCUUUGUUUUUAAUGGACAAACUGAGUCGUUCAGGUUUAGAUUCUCAUAGAAGCUGUUUUUAAUUAACUUUCAUUCUCAUCUUCUUUUGUAUCAUUUGCACUAAAAAAUAAACUUGAAUUGAAUAAAAAAUA